rnacentral:rRNA from 1 species
AACAGGAUUAGAUACCCUGGUAGUCCACGCCGUAAACGAUGUCAACUAGCCGUUGGGAUCCUUGAGAUCUUAGUGGCGCAGCUAACGCAUUAAGUUGACCGCCUGGGGAGUACGGCCGCAAGGUUAAAACUCAAAUGAAUUGACGGGGGCCCGCACAAGCGGUGGAGCAUGUGGUUUAAUUCGAUGCAACGCGAAGAACCUUACCUACUCUUGACAUCCACGGAAUUUGGCAGAGAUGCCUUAGUGCCUUCGGGAACCGUGAGACAGGUGCUGCAUGGCUGUCGUCAGCUCGUGUUGUGAAAUGUUGGGUUAAGUCCCGCAACGAGCGCAACCCUUAUCCUUUGUUGCCAGCGAUUCGGUCGGGAACUCAAAGGAGACUGCCGGUGACAAACCGGAGGAAGGUGGGGAUGACGUCAAGUCAUCAUGGCCCUUACGGCCAGGGCUACACACGUGCUACAAUGGCGCAUACAAAGAGAAGCGACCUCGCGAGAGCAAGCGGACCUCAUAAAGUGCGUCGUAGUCCGGAUCGGAGUCUGCAACUCGACUCCGUGAAGUCGGAAUCGCUAGUAAUCGUGAAUCAGAAUGUCACGGUGAAUACGUUCCCGGGCCUUGUACACACCGCCCGUCACACCAUGGGAGUGGGUUGCACCAGAAGUAGCUAGUCUAACCUUCGGGAGGACGGUUACCACGGUGUGAUUCAUGACUGGGGUGAAGUCGUAACAAGGUAACC